UACGGGGGGGGCAAGCGUUGUCCGGAUUUACUGGGCGUAAAGUGUGCGCAGGCGGCCGAGCAAGUCGAGUGUGAAAGCCCCGAGCUUAACUUGGGAACUGCGCUCGAAACUACUUGGCUAGAGUGUGGCAGAGGGAGGUGGAAUUCCACGUGUAGCGGUGAAAUGCGUAGAGAUGUGGAGGAACACCGAUGGCGAAGGCAGCCUCCUGGGCCAACACUGACGCUCAUGCACGAAAGCGUGGGGAGCAAACAGG
rnacentral:rRNA from 1 species